rnacentral:rRNA from 1 species
ACAUGAAGUCAGGUCAGCAAACCCGCUGAAUUUAAGCAUAUAAGUAAGCGGAGGAUAAGAAACUAAAUAGGAUUCCCUUAGUAAUGGCGAAUGAACAGGGAUCAGCUCAGGAUGGAAAUUGGGGCCUUUGGCCUUGAAUUGUAAUCUGGAGAUGUACCACCAACUGGGGCGUAGAUGUAAGCCUUUUGGAAAAGAGCAUCAAUGAGGGUGAGAGUCCCGCAUGUCAUCUGCAGUCCCCAGUGCACGGUGUACCUUCUAAGAGUCACGUUCCUCGGGAUUGGAGCGCAAAUUGGGUGGUAAAUUUCAUCUAAAGCUAAAUAUUGCUUCGAGACCGAUAGCAAACAAGUACCAUGAGGGAAAGGUGAA